rnacentral:tRNA from 1 species
GGCUUCGUAGCUAGGCCUGUGAACCAUGCGCUGUGCAAAAGCGUAGGCGGCGUCCAUGCGUGGGUUCGAAUCCCACCGAGGCUA